AGGUGGACUCUGUUCCCCUGGGGUGUCUACCUUUACAAGUUAGUCUCCAGAAUUCCCCAGCUGUAUCUCACUGGAACUCCACAGAAGUGACUUUCUCUAUCGCAGAAUAUCUACAGUUACAGUAAGUGUUUGUGCAGUAGUUAGCUCGUUCCCUCCCUUAGCAGUACCAGUCUUAUUCAGAGAGUAAAGAGUCUAAUACAGGUUUUGCUUAUAUAAACAACGCGCAAAAAAUUGAAACCCAUCAUGAAAAGCGCAGAUUGGCUUAUAAAAAUAAAAACUGAAUUUAACCAACUAAAAAGAUCAACUGAGUACACUGGCAUUUGAUGAAUUCAGGAGACAUGGUCAGGGUCUAUGCACAAGGGGGCAACAGAAAACGUCGCAGGUCAGAGUAAACACCUGGAGAACCCAUGGCACAGAGCUGCUCUGACAUGCCUGUACAGAGACCUUCCAGGUCAGUGUGGACGCAGUGGGAUAUCAGGCAGACAUACCAGGUUAUGGUGGGCACUUAAGCUGUUAAAGCACUGCCGGUCAGGGUAGACCCAAGUGCAGAUAAAGGGAGGUAUCCCAGCAUGGUGUAGACACACCUCAGGACCAGGGAGACAUCCCAGGUCAGGAGAUCAACACCUGCGACAGGCAGACGUCCGGUCAGGACACACACACCUAGUGGACACGACCUACCCAGCCAGGGCAGACGUGGCCGGGGAUUUCGGGAGACGCCGCAGGUCAGGUAGACUCACCUGUGCAACCAGGCAAUACCCAAGAUGAGGCAGCCAGCCCUGGGAAACGGGGAACCUUCCACUAAGACAGACCUGGGGAAUGAGGUGCACGUCUCGGGCAACACUAGACACGACAGUCACGGCCAGAGAUGCUCCCGCUGAGUACGGACACACCCGGGGCACGAGGGAGGCGUCCCUGGUCGUGGAGACACACACAGGCUUGGAGAAAACAUACAAGGUGAAGGUAGCCACAGCUGGGGAGAGCUGAACACCUGCCAGGUGAGGGCAGCCAGGUAAUGGUAAACAUGGGUCACCGAAACAUCCUCUGUCAGGUCAGUAUAGACGUACCUGAACUAUGAGCAGAUACACCGGGUCAGGUGAGACACAGUCGGGAGAGAGGGAGCUAUCACGGUUCACAGUAGGGACACCAGAGUUCUGAGAGACGUUCCAGGUUCUAAGACACACCUUGGAAACGUGGGAGACAUCCUAGGACAGGGCAGACAAACCUGGGGAAUAAGUGACACUUCCCUGGUCAGCAUGGGGACACAAGGUGUAUCUGGUAGACGUAGCAGGCCGGUGUAGACACACCUCUCUCCCCAGCCGCAGCUCUGGGGGCUCCCGCGGGUGGGGCCUGACCACAAGGCAGGAGGCUCUCGGGAAGGAUUAUCUGCUCGGAUCCCAAGAUGAGCCAUUACGAGAGUCUGCUGCUUGAGCGGAACGCCUCUGGUCUGCAGAGAAACGUAGUUUUGCAAAGCGCCAGAUCUCAAGACCUGGGUCUUGGCCGCUCUCCAGGGGCGGGAGGCCGGCCCCCCAGGGAGAGACGGGGUCGGGGAAGGGACCCCGCCGCAGAGCUGACCGCACGAGCAGGCGCAGGUGGCCGUGGUGUCCCCCGGGCCGGCCGAUGCCGGGGAGGCCACACGGGGGUCACUUCUCCCUCGCGGCCGCCGUGCUCACGAACUACAAGUACCUCGUAAACCCCUAGGAGUGGGAUCGCUGGGCCACAUGGGUCUUUCCGAGACUCCCCUGUGUUUCCGUGGGGGAUGUUCGUCUCCCGCGCCCACCGGCAACGCGCUCGGCCGUCGGCGUCACAUCCUGGGCGUCACGUCCCGGCCGACGCUCGCUGUGCUGCGCUUCUGAUGGUUGUGGGACCUCGCGAUUGUCCUGUGUCCCCUGGUGAGGAGUGAGGGGAGUUCCAGUCGGGCGCUGACCGGCCAUCUGUGCGUCGUCUCUGGAGACAGACUUGGCCCAUCUUUUAAUGGGAUCGUUCCUUUGUCGCUGAGCAGUUUUUACAGAUCCUGGGUGUCGGCCCCUCAUCAGGUGAGGGAGACGUUUUCUCCCGUUCUGUGGGCUCUUUAACUCCCCUGAUGGCGCCCCAAAGUGCUUCCUUUUGUGAAAGUCCAAUUUAUCUGUUUUUCUAGUUGCCUGUGCUUCGGGUGUUAGAGCCAAUAAAUCACCACAAAUGCAACGUCA